rnacentral:lncRNA from 1 species
GUCAUUUUCAAAUUGUCCAAAAAAGGGGGGAAAAAAUGUUUCCAAUCAUAAAAGAGAGAACUUCAAUUAAGUAUAUAAUACAGUGAAAAGCAUACGCUUCUUGACCAAUUUGAUCAAAUUCCUGGCACCCAUGUAAUCGCCAAACGUUAGCAUCCAAUAAAAGAACAAGUGAUUUAUUACCUACACUUAAUCCAAAAGCAAUGCUCAAAGAACAAGAUUUAUUUAUAAAUUGAAUGCUUACCAGAUCUGGUGGUCAAGACAUCCACUGAGAAGUGACUUUAAGAUCUGCAAAAACUAUAUCUCAUAGUAACUAGGGAUAGUAACUAGGGACACAUUACACUGUACAAGUCAGUUUUCCUUUACAUUUUCCACAUGAUGUUAGGGACCACCCCUUCUUAAUAUUCCCUUCUCUCAACAAGGACCCUCUUGGCCACUAAGUGGGCAAAAGUUGAGAGAAACAUGAAGCCAAUUAAAUCAACAAAAAUGCUAAAGGUACAUCAUAUUGUACAUAAAGGUGUCCUUUAUGGACACCCGGCUCCUCACCUGUGGGCUCCUGUGUGUGUUAGGCGUCUCGUCAAUGACGAAGCGCCUAGUGUCCAUAAUGGACACCCUUAGGUAUGGGGUGAUGUACCCCUAGCAGAACUGUUAAAUCAAUCUCUCUCAACUGUAACCAUGAAAUAUCCAACAAAAGCACAUGAAAGUUAAAGCAUCAACAUAAUGACAUUGAUAUGCACGCUAAUAUGGAGAUAAUUAUUUAGCCAUCCCUCAAACUUAAUUAAAAAAGAGUUUCUAUUGAAUACUACCACUGUUAGCCAAUCAACUGAUUCCCAUUACGAAAAUAAAAACAAGCAAAGGGUCCAAAACAAGCUCACAAAAGAAAAGCAUACAAAAUUCAGGCAAAUUUUGCUGAUAUAGUACAAAAGAGAGAGAGAGAGAGAGCACGUAAAACAUAUACAAUUUUAGAUGGAAAUUAAUUAAAGGUUAAAUAUUUGGAAAUAUAAUUGCAUGAACUUCAGAAAACAGAAUCACCCAUGCGGCCAUGCCCAAAAUCAGAU